GCAACGGUGUGUGAAUAUCAUGUCAGUAGAGAAGGCAUUUUGUAUGUAAACAAAUGGUAGGUUUGGCAGAGGCACUGCAUAUAGGAAGGCAAAUCCAUACCCACAGGAUCCAAGAGGAGGACAACAUAAUCUCACCAUCCUCUUAAAUCUAGUCUUGGAAUCAGCACAGCGUCAUCUCUUGCACAUUGUGCAAUCCAGGAGGAAAUUUGGACAGAGGGACAUAUGCACACAGAAAGAAUUCCAUACGAACAGGAAGACAGAUGUCACAGUGAUGCAUCUACAAGCCGAAGAAUGUCAAAGAUGCCAGCACCCACCAGAAGCUAGUAGAGAUGCAAGGAACAGUUUCUCACAGACCUCAGAAGGGACCAACUUUUUUACCCCUUGACAUUUCCAGCCUCCAGAAAUGUGAAACAAUAAAUUUAUUUUCUUUAAGUCAUCCAGUUUGUUUUGCAGAUUUAUAGCAACCCAAGACAAUUAAUA
rnacentral:lncRNA from 1 species